UACGUAGGGUGCGAGCGUUGUCCGGAAUUACUGGGCGUAAAGGGUGCGUAGGCGGGUCUUUAAGUCAGUGGUGAAAUCUCCAGGCUCAACCUGGAAACUGCCAUUGAUACUAUUUAUCUUGAAUUCUGUUGAGGUGGGCGGAAUACAUCAUGUAGCGGUGAAAUGCUUAGAUAUCUGAAAGAACACCAGUGGCGAAGGCGGUCAACUGGCUUUUAACUGACGCUCAGGCACGAAAGCGUGGGGAGCAAACAGG
rnacentral:rRNA from 1 species